rnacentral:lncRNA from 10 species
CAGGAAAAGCCUCAUUGGAUUCUGUUUUAUUAGGCAGAAGGAGGUUCUUGGAAGGACAGCAUUAAGAAGUUCAUAGAAUUAAUGAACCACUAUAAAACCAGGCCGGGUUACAGAGAGAACUAAGAAAGCUGCAGAGCUCAAAAAAACAGGAAGAUUGUGCUCACAGAGAGCCCACUUAGGUGAAUGUAUCCCACCUUCUAAAUCUACCCAACUGGAGGGCAGGGAUGCAAGUCUUCUGUUAUCCACGGUGGGAGCCAGGCACCUGGAUUCACUAUCACACCAAGACCUGAUGGAAGGAAGGCAUGGGGAUGGAUGCUGAGUGCCCAAACACUGAGGUGAGGAGAUCUGAAGAGACUACGGAGGUAAAAGGGACAGAAGACCAAGAAGAGACUUUGAAGCGAUGACACAUUGCUUGCUAGGGCUGGAUUUCACACUGAAGAAUGACAGCAGAAGCCUUGCCUCACAAAAGGCACCAAACAGACCUUCCUACCUGCCCACGUUUUCCGUCUCGCUUGACAGCACCAGGGAGGACAUCUUUCGCCUGGGAGUUUCAUCUCCUGCUUUUAAGAAACAGAAGGAUGGUCAGAGUGAUCUCGCACCUGUUGUUUUUCAAACGCCUUUGACUCAAAAUAAUCAAUUUGCCAGAGUGGCAUAUUUUUAACCUCUUCAGUAUCCUUAUGUGGCUUCACAGCUGUUCAAAGUUGUUAUUUCAUAACCCAACAGGCUGGACAAUUCACCUGCUGAUUAAAGUUAACAUAUUCUUCAUGGCACUCUGGGUCAUAAAAGGGAAUUAAAGUUGUGAUGGGAUGCAUGAGACCAGGAGGAUGACUCUGAUUCAGUCCCCUAAGAUGGAACUAAGAGAAGCAGUCCAUAAGUCUUGGGGGAAUUCUCUCUCUACCAUUGUGUAUCUGACGUAUUGUUUUAACAGCCAUGUAAAAUUGGAUCUGACUCUACUUACUCCAGAAAUAAUAUUUGUUGAUCACAGGGCACUACACAAUGAUUCAUGGUACAGACAAUCUGGUUGUCAUAUUUUCAUGUUUGCCAGACACUGUUGCUUCAAACCACUUGUACCCUUGAUAAAUGAAAGUGUGUGUGAAUCUCCCAAAAGUAUGUUAAAUAAACAC